AUCCAUCUAUUUUAGUGAAAUGGUCCCACACUGCUAAGGGGUCUUUAUUUGCCCUCCUUUUACGAGGAGGGACUGGGAGACUUGUGCCACUAGACAAGUUAAUAUUUGAAGCCAUUUGUGAUCGGUUUUCCAAAGGAUGUCACUUUCGAAGCAAUCCAUAUAUGAGCUAACAUAUAAUAUAACAUAUAAAAAUCAAAAUAUUAGGAUAUGAACUGAAAAUUACUCUAUUUUUAUGAUUUAAAGAAACUCAAAAGAAAGAGAAACCACCAUCA